GCAUGUUUACUCAUUACGUUACUUCUGUUCAGAAAACAUGCUUCGGAGAGUAAAUACUAAAGUUGUGUCACAAAUAAAGUACUGUACAAUUACAAUAUGCACUCUGCACUACCGUCUAGUGUGUGGAUUUUAGAAAGGUAAUAUCAUCUCAAAUAUAACACUAGUGUUUUGUUUUUUGUUUUUUUUUACUAACUGGGAGUAUAAGCCACAAUGGUUACUUUCUGUCAGUGUUACCUUUUAUUCCCAACAUGACCUCAGUCCUCAUCAGACGGAGGCAAAAUCGUCAGGUGACUGAGGAAGAAAGUGUGUAACCUCCAAGUCCUCUGAGGCAGGGGGGCAUUUUAAACAUCGUGGAAAUCAAACUGAUGCAUGAUGACAAAGUUAUGUUUAUAUCCAAAAUGCUCCACUGUGUGCAAGGGGCAGGGGAAACUGGUGCAAGCUGCUUAAAUGGUUUAGUUUAAUUUAAGUUUAUUGUCAUUAUAUGUUGUAUUUGUGCGCUUGCAGUGUAAAUUCUGUCGUUUUUUUAUUACAGAAGUGAUCUAUUAGUAACGAGGCCGCGUUGCUGAUCAUGCGCUGUGUAGACGUGCUAAUACAGAGUAGGAGUGCGGGUAAGAUCUGUAAUGUCUAAUUAAAACACUGAAAGGAAAUUCUCUUAUAUCAUGUACUCUCUUAUAUUAUGAACUGCUAUCAAAUACCUAUGAUGAAUGUAUACAUUUAAUUACCUCUUUAAAUAAGCUGAUCAACUGCCAUCUUUCUUAUAGCUGGCACAUGUAUUUUCUGUCUAUUGAAAAGACUUAUUUUCAUAGUGUGCUGUGUGUUUUGUUUUGUCUAUUUGUCUGGCCCCUGCAUCAGUAGAAAUCGUCCACGCACUGCUUCUUAUCAAUGUGUAUAAAUACUCUUGGUUUGCAUGAAUAAACUCGGAUGUCUAUUUGAGCAUGCAUGUGUUAGUGUGUGUUCAUUUAGGCGCCCCAGUUCAAUCUGAAACGCUCUGAGGAGAACCAUACUUUCUAAGCACAGAACUAAAAGUUAAUAGAAGUAAUUGUAGAACAGGCUGGAAGGCAUGACGGAAGAUCUGAAAGGCAUAAUCUGAGAUACAUGGAAAUCCAACAAUUUGGUGUCAGAAGUGUGAGUACUCCGAAUCAGGCCUAUAUAACGGUGGGGAAGAGUCAUCAAAUAAUUGAAAUGUUAACUCGAACUGGAGGACAGGCUCUGGGUUACUGAUCAGAAGGUCAGGGGUUCAAGCCCCAGCACUUCCAAGCUGCCACUUGGGCCCUUGUGCAAGGCCCUUAACCCUCCCUGCUCCAGGGGUGCUGUAUCAUGGCAGACCCUGCACUCUGACCCAAGCUUCCUCACAGGCUGGGGUAUGCAAAGAAAACAAUUUCACUGUGCUAUAUAUAUAUAUAUAUUUAUUUAUUUAAGUUGCCAUUGGUUUGUGAAGGUUAAACUAUUAAUUUAACAGCUCAGUGUUGAGUUUACAAUAGCAAUUUCAAAUCUUUUUUUAAUUUACUUACUUUCCGGGCUCGGUCGGACUCGACUUGGCCAUUAAGGACUCGGACUCGAAUGGUUAAGGACUUGGUCUCGACUCAAACUUGACAAAGGUGGACUCGGACCCAACACUAGUAUGCUGGGACAAAAUAUAUCAGAAGAGCUGUCUUUUUUCAUAAUAAAACAGCAAAUGAGCCAUUUGUGUAAGCGUUUUGAACUAUCUAGUAUGAAAUGACACAUUCUGGAAGCCUCACGCCCUUCUCCCAUCUACCAUACAGCGCCCUUGCUUUCUGUCUAGGAAAAUGUUUUGUGUACACCAAAACUUUCCAGAGGAAAGGUAAAAACUGAAAUUUUUGACCAAAAAAAGAUUGUGCUCUGAUGCAUUAAACUAGUUCAGCCAGCAACAGAACAACAAUGCAGGACUACGUGGGGGUUUUUUCAAAAACUGGACCAUGGACUUCAGAGAAAACGUUUCAACAUUUCUGUCCUAAAUCAAUCUACAGCAACCUUGGUUUCUCAGCACAAAGGUCAUGACUGCACUGAAACACUCUGGCUAUGUAAUUCACUACUGUUAAAAACACAUUACAUUGUUACCUCUGCUGCUGCUCCUUGCAUGUUGAAACUUCACAAUAGUUAUCAAAUGCACAGAAGAACAUGACGUUUGACAACAAUUACAUUUUUCAUUUGGUUUUGGUCAGCAAUGCAACUAUAAUUUUCCUCACAGCCACCAUCUGUUUCAGCUGUUAAGGACAACAUGAUAAAUACUCAUUUUUUUUGUUAGAGAUAUUAUGGAAAAUAGGUGACAAUUGUGUUAAUUUUUACCACCACCUAGUGUUUUCUGGUACAUUAAUGGUACAUUAAUAAAAAUGACACCAUGAAAUAUUAAUAUUUUUAGAAUAGGCUGUCUGAACAUUUCAUACCAUAACACUCCUAGUAGUGACAGCUAUAAUGUUGUAUACUUCUUUUUCCUCAGAGUCAAAUGGCGGUAAGUGGACAGAGCACCUGCAGGGCAAGAAAAAAAAAAAAGUUGAGCAGGCUGUGGAAACCUUUACCGUAUGAGAGAUUUUUCAUAUCAGACUGCUCGUCAGAUGCUCCAAACCGGUUUUGAAGCAGGUGAAAACCUGGCCAGGAGACAUCUCUGCUCUUCGGGACUGUUUUGAGCACACUCACUGGCACAUGUUCAGGGAGGCUGCAACCGACAGCGACUCCACCAACUUGGAGGAAUACACAGCAUCAGUGACCAGCUACAUCAGCAAGUGCAUUGAUGACAUCACUAUCUCCAAGACCAUCACCACAUGUUCCAAUCAGAAACCGUGGAUCACUGCGGAGGUGCGUGCAUUGCUGAGGACCCAAGACUACACCUUCAGGGGAGGUGACAAGGCGGCCCUAAGAACAGCGAGAGCCAAACUGUCCUGGGCCAUCAGAGAGGCAAAGCGCGCACACUCCCAGAAAAUCCACAGUCACUACAUGGACAGUGGUGACACACAGAGCAUGUGGCAGUGCAUUCAAGCCAGCAGCAACUACAGGACAACUACUGUGAAAGUGAUGCCUCCCAUCCAGAUGCACUGAACAAAUUCUAUGCUCAGUUUGAGGUGUAAAAUGAUGUGACUGCGACUAACAACACCCCUCCUACCAAUGACCAGAUGCUGUGGCUAAUUUGAGGAAAACUCUAUGCAGAGUCAACCCACAGAAGGAUGCUGGACCAGAAAACAUUCCUGGCAGAUCGCUCAGAGGAUGUGCAGAUCAGCUGGCGAAUGUUCUCACUAACAUCUUCAACAUCGCCCUGAGCAGCACCAUCGUUCCAACGUGCUUCAAGGCCACCACCAUUGUCUCUGUGCUGAAGAGGUCUUCAGUGUCCUGCCUCAACUAAUACCUUCCUGUUGCACUCACACCCAUCAUCAUGAAGUACUUCAAGAGGCUCAUCAUGAAGCACAUCAAGACCCUGCUGCCCCCCUAAUUGGACCCCCUGCAAUUCACAUAUUGUCCCAAACCGGUCAAAUGAUGAUGUCAUCGCUACCACCCUACAUCUGGCCCUCACCUACCUGGACAAAAAGGACACCUAUGUCCGAAUGUUGUUCACAGACUUCAGUUCAGCAGUCACACAAUCAUUCCACAGCACCUGACUGGAAAGCUGAACCUGCUGGGCUUGAAGAUCUCCAUUUGCAACUGGAUUCUGGACUUCCUGACUGGGAGACCUCAGUCAGUCCUGAUUGGGAACAGCAUCUCCAGCACCACCACACUGAGCAUGGGGGCCCCCCAGGGCUGUGCACUCAGUUCACUCUGCUGAUUCACAACUGUGCAGCAACGCACAGCUCCAACCACAUCAUCAAGUUUGGUGGGUCUCAAAGGCAAAAACGACGAGUCAGCAUACAGAGAGGAGGUGCAGCAACAAUAACCUGUCUCUGAAUGUGGACAAAAUAAAAGAGAUGGUUAUUAACUUCAGGAGAGCACGGAGUGACCACUCUCUGCUGAACAUCGAUGGCUCCUCCGUAGAGAUCGUCAAGAGCACCAAAUUCCUUUGUGUUCAACUGGAGGAGAACCUCAACUGGACCCUGAACACCAGCUCCAUAACCAAGAAAGCCCAGCAGCGUUACUUUCUGAGAAGGCUGAAAAAAGCCUAUCUCCCACCCCUCAUCCUCACCACAUUCUACAGAGGAACCAUUGAAAGCAUCCUGAGCAGCUGCAUCGCUGCCUGGUUCGGAAAUUGCACCAUAUUGGAUCACAAGACCCUGCGACGGAUAGUGAGGACAGCUGAGAAGAUCAUUGGGGUCUCUCUUCCCUCCAUCAUAGACAUUUACACAACAUGCUGCAUUCACAACACUACCAGCAUUGUGGAUAUCCCCCCACACCCCUCACACAAACUCUUCACCCUCCUGCAGUGUGGUACUGAAGCAUUCGAGCCCUCACAGCCAGACUGUGUAACAGCUUCUUCCCCCAAACCAUCAGAAUCCUCAAUGCUCAGAGACUGGACUGACACACACACACACACACACACACACACACACACACACACACACACACACACACACACACACACACACAUUCACAUGUGCGCACACACACAUUCAUGCUGAACUGAACGCCAUCCCACUCCCAAUUUUUGCACAUUUCUGUACUGAAUACCUGUACUUUUGCUGCUACUGUACUUAUAAUAAUAUUAUGUUUAAUUUCCUGUCACUAUUAUACACUUUACCUGGCUGCUACUACAAUAACUGCUAAGUCCACAUAUGAUAUAAGCUAAUCUGCUGAAUAGUAUGUCAUAGUAUGUUUAUAUUUACAGCAUUUGUUUUUUAUUAUAUUGUUAUUCUUUUUGCACUACCUGUUAUAUCUGACAUUUUCACACUAGAACUGUGUACUGAUCAGUGCUACACUGUCACUUACUGUGCCUAUUGUCCUGCUUUAGUAGUUACUGUACUGUCUUAUGUUGUUUGCACAUGUUUGCAUGUGCACUUUUUGUGGAACGUGUAGGUCUUAUUUAGUUCUGUGUCGUCCAAUGUGGUUAGUGUGUUGUUUUAUGUAGCACCAUGGUCCUGGAGGAACAUUAUUUCAUUUCACUGUGUACUAUACCAGCUGUAUAUGAUUGAAAUGACAAUAAACGCCACUUGACUUGAUCAUGUUUUGUAGGAAUAUGUUGUUUCCUCCUUUUUAUAUUUUCAAUUUGCAGUCUGCUUUGUUUUGAUUGGCAUCAUUAAUCAUGAAAUAUGCCUUUAGGGUGACAGCAUACAUUUGUCCUACAUCAAGUCACAUCACCUAGUAUUGCAUGUUGAUAUCGGAGCGUUUGAGUAGGUAAUGAGUAGGUAAUGAAUAUGAGUGCAAGUAAAUGAGCACUGCACAUUAGUCAAGUCCAUAAGUAUUUGGUCAGUGACACAAUUUUUGUAGUUUUGCCUCUGUACACUACCACAAUGGAUUUGAAAUUAAGCAAUCAAGAUGUGAUUGAAGUGCAGACUUUCGCUGUCCAAAUACUUAUGGACCUGACUGCAUGUAACCUGAACAAAACUUGUUAGUAACCAACUACAUUUGCUGACUUUGAUUUGUGCUCUGUUCUAC